CUGGGAAACUGCCUGAUGGAGGGGGAUAACCCUUUGGAAACGGUAGCUAAUACCGCAUAACGUCGCAAGACCAAAGAGGGGGACCUUCGGGCCUCUUGCCAUCGGAUGCGCCCAGAUGGGAUUAGCUAGUAGGUGGGGUAACGGCUCACCUAGGCGACGAUCCCUAGCUGGUCUGAGAGGAUGACCAGCCACACUGGAACUGA
rnacentral:rRNA from 1 species